CAGUAGCCACGGGAAUACGGAGGGGGCUAGCGUUAUUCGGAAUUACUGGGCGUAAAGCGCACGUAGGCGGCUUUGCAAGUCAGAGGUGAAAGCCUGGGGCUCAACUCCAGAAUUGCCUUUGAGACUGCGUCGCUCGAAUCCGGGAGAGGUGAGUGGAAUUCCGAGUGUAGAGGUGAAAUUCGUAGAUAUUCGGAAGAACACCAGUGGCGAAGGCGGCUCACUGGACCGGCAUUGACGCUGAGGUGCGAAAGCGUGGGGAGCGAACAGGAUUAGAUACCCCGGUAGUCCCUGUCUCUUAUAC
rnacentral:rRNA from 1 species